rnacentral:lncRNA from 1 species
AUAAACUCGUUGGAAUCUUAUGUGAGAGCAGAAUUGUAAUAGGUAAGCAAAGCAUGGGGCAUUACAGUAACUUGAGAGGCAUCACCAGUGGGAAAAUACGUUGGAAGAAUUUAGGAAAAGCAAAUGAAAAAAAAAAAGAAGAAAGGAACCGGCCCUGCCUGAGCAUGACCUUGUUAAAGCAGAAAAAAAGCCAGUAUUCAGACCCUACCAUUCGUAAAGAUACAUCAUGAAAUAAAAUGCCUCGAUACCUGCUCUCUCUCUCUCUCUUUCUC